GUCCACAGACUAAGUGGUUAUGGGUACACUGUUUAGUGUGCUUAAGAUAUAGUCGGGGCUUUUGAGAAAUCAGAAGGUCAAAAUCACUUUGAGAAUGAGAAGAAAAGCUUUCAAGAGAGUAAGCAUUCUACCCUACCUUGAAAGCUUGUUUUCCCAUGUUACUGUUCCGUAGGUGAACCUGCGGAAGGAUCAUUA
rnacentral:rRNA from 1 species